CGUUAAAGCUUCAUUGAAUUAACCAAAAAUUCCACCAACCAACCACAACCCUUAUUCUCAUAUUGAAUGACUUCAUAACACUAUGAAGAACUAUAUGUUAAAACUAGUAACAAGAAGAAGCCCUUCUCCAAAAUGUAAGCUUGAGCCAUAAUGAACAAAUCACUGGCAUUUAAAGUCUAUAAACCUUUAUUAGCAACUCAACCUAGAAAACCCUACUUAUUAGUACGUCAACCUUACACCAGCACAUUUCUGGAAAGACUAAAAGAAUAGGAAGGAACUCGGCAAAUAACUAACCCCGCCUGUUUACCAAAAACAUCGCCUUCUGAUACUCAUAGAAGGUCCAGCCUGCCCAGUGACUAAGUUAAACGGCCGCGGUACCCUAACCGUGCAAAGGUAGCGCAAUCACUUGUUCUUUAAAUGAGGACUAGUAUGAACGGCAUCACGAGGGUUACACUGUCUCCCUAUUCCAUUCAGUGAAACUGAUCUUCCCGUGAAGAAGCGGGAAUAUAAAUAUAAGACGAGAAGACCCCAUGGAGCUUUAAACUCAGUGUCAUCUGCCACUUCAAUACCCUCUUAAUUACGCAGACCAUGAUAACUAGUUUUCGGUUGGGGUGACCGCGGAGUAAAACAAAACCUCCACAACGAAAGGAACUAACAACCUAAUCCAAGAGCAACAUCUCUAAGAAUCAACAAAUUGACUUAAUUGAUCCAAUUACUUGAUCAACGAACCAAGUUACCCUGGGGAUAACAGCGCAAUCCAUUUCAAGAGCUCAUAUCGACAAAUGGGUUUACGACCUCGAUGUUGGAUCAGGGUAUCCCAGUGGCGCAGCAGCUACUAACGGUUCGUUUGUUCAACGAUUAAA
rnacentral:rRNA from 1 species